UACGUAGGGGGCAAGCGUUGUCCGGAUUUAUUGGGCGUAAAGAGCGUGUAGGCGGCCAUACAGGUCAGCUGUGAAAACUCGAGGCUCAACCUCGAGACGUCGGUUGAAACCGUAUGGCUAGAGUCCGGAAGAGGAGAGUGGAAUUCCCGGUGUAGCGGUGAAAUGCGCAGAUAUCGGGAGGAACACCUGUGGCGAAAGCGGACUCACUGGACCACAACUGACGCUGAGGCGCGAAAGCUAGGGGAGCAAACAGGG
rnacentral:rRNA from 1 species